GAUUUUUGCGAUACGAGCUGACGAUUCUUAGUUCUAUUCUUUUAUAGAGAGUGCGCGCAUUUAUUGCUGAUACUUGUAAACAAAGAUGACCUAACCGGUACGAACGAUCGUAGACUAUUUUACUAAUCGCUGAUCGCAUUGAAAAUUAAGACGAAAUAGAAAAUGAUAUUAAACCAUAUCUUAUAACAUAAUCGAAUCAUCAUUUUUGUCGAUUUUUUUUUUUGUAACCUUAUCUACAAUCGUUCGUCCUGUUUUUUCAUUUACGUCACUACACCGUAUAUGGAGCUAUACUGUAAUAAAAGCUGUCUUCAAUUGAUGAUAUCGUUUUACUAAGCCUCGAUCAGUUUGCUUCUCUCUUUCAGAACUUCUCUGUCUUUAGUUUCGAGCAGUCGUGGAUAACACACUGGCCAACUGUUGGAAUAGAAAUCGGUUUCUUUCGAACAAUGCUCGGAAAAAGCUCAUAAGCCACUAAUGGAAGCACCUUGUGCCUGUGUCGGCUAUGUACAUCGAUUAUAUAUGAGAAAAAAGUAGGAUACCAAUUAAUAGCAAACUAAAUCUAAUCUAAUCGACGGCUUUGAACUUUCCUUUUUUCUGAAUACAUGAAGGAUCGACCGCAUCGUUUAAAGUAGAGAUCAGUGACCAAAAUUCUACUACAUAUGCGGAUGACCCUCUAUGCAUUUGAAGUGGACUGUCGUUCAUUUGUUAGCCAUAUGCUAACGGGUUAUAAAUUUCUUUGAAAAUGCAUGUAACAGCCAUGCACAGAAAUCGGGAGAGUGCUGUAUACUAGGAAUCACUGGCACCGAAUCGCGUUUCGAAGGCAGUUGAAGAUCCUACGAGAAUCUCUCAACGGUGUUGAAAAUGCGAUGGACGGAACGCUUGGAAAUAAUUAAAGGACAAUCGAAGACAAGUACGCAGGAAGAGCAUCAUAUGUACAUGAUUAAUUGUCAUGAAAGUUAAAACAACGUCAGUAUCAAGCAAUAAAAUUUUGGAACUCGUCUUCCAUAAGUUUACACUGGGUUUUUAAUUAAAAAUUACACCUCGCUAAGUAUUCAGCACGCGAUCUGGAGGACACUUUCAGUAAAACGCAACCGAUCAUAUGCAGACAGCGAAUGUGUGAACACUUAUAACCCUAAGAUGGCAUGUGUGCUUGUCGUCGAGCCUUAGACUUUUUUCUCUGUUGUUUCAGUUACAAGAAAAGUAUUAUUAAUCUGCUUCUUCAUUUCCACUUGUUUUCUUUCUGAAGAAUCACACUAAUGUUCUUUUCCUUUAUUUCUAACAAUUCUUGUAUAUUGUAUAUGUACAGCAGUACCACGUCCGUUCAAUUGCAGUACACGCGUUUUUUUUCUUUUUUC